rnacentral:rRNA from 1 species
GUUUGAUCCUGGCUCAGGACGAACGCUGGCGGUGUGCCUCACGCAUGCAAGUCGAACGAGGUAGCAAUACCUAGUGGCGGACGGGUGAGUAACACGUGGGAAUCUGCCUUUGGAUGGGGGAUAACGAACCGAAAGGUUCGCUAAUACCGCAUAUGCGUGCAUUCCGACAGGAGUGCAUGUAAAAGGAGCAAUCCGUCUGAAGAUGAGCCCGCGUCCGAUUAGCUAGUUGGUAGGGUAAAAGCCUACCAAGGCGACGAUCGGUAGCUGGUCUGAGAGGAUGAUCAGCCACAAUGGGACUGAGACACGGCCCAUACUCCUACGGGAGGCAGCAGUGGGGAAUUUUACGCAAUGGGGGAAACCCUGACGUAGCGACACCGCGUGAGCGAAGAAGCCCUUUGGGGUGUAAAGCUCUGUCAGCAGGAACGAAACAAAUGACGGUACCUGCAGAGGAAGCAUCGGCUAACUACGUGCCAGCAGCCGCGGUAAGACGUAGGAUGCAAGCGUUGUCCGGAUUUAUUGGGCGUAAAGAGUUCGUAGGUGGUUUGUUAAGUCUGGUGUUAAAGACUGGGGCUCAACCCUGGGAGUGCACUGGAUACUGGCAGACUGGAGUGCAGUAGAGGCGAGUGGAAUUCCAGGUGUAGCGGUGAAAUGCGUAGAUAUCUGGAAGAACACCGGUGGCGUAAGCGACUCGCUGGGCUGUAACUGACACUGAGGAACGAAAGCCAGGGGAGCGAAUGGGAUUAGAUACCCCAGUAGUCCUGGCCGUAAACGAUGGAUACUAGGCGUUGCGGGUAUCGACCCCUGCAGUGCCACAGCUAACGCGAUAAGUAUCCCGCCUGAGUAGUACGGCCGCAAGGUUGAAACUCAAAGGAAUUGACGG